GACAGGAGGUGCCGAGCGUUAGGCGGAAUCACUGGGCUUAAAGCGUGUGUAGGCGGGCGGGCAAGUACCUUGUGAAAUCCCACGGCUCAACCGUGGAACUGCUGGGUAUACUGCCUGUCUUGAGCCAGCCAGGGGCAGUCGGAACAGACGGUGGAGCGGUGAAAUGCGUAGAUAUCGUCUGGAACGCCAAAGGUGAAAACAGACUGCUGGGGCUGUGCUGACGCUGAGACACGAAAGCCAGGGAGCGAACGGG
rnacentral:rRNA from 1 species